GAUGAACGCUGGCGGCGUGCCUAAUACAUGCAAGUCGAGCGAACGGACGAGAAGCUUGCUUCUCUGAUGUUAGCGGCGGACGGGUGAGUAACACGUGGAUAACCUACCUAUAAGACUGGGAUAACUUCGGGAAACCGGAGCUAAUACCGGAUAAUAUUUUGAACCGCAUGGUUCAAAAGUGAAAGACGGUCUUGCUGUCACUUAUAGAUGGAUCCGCGCUGCAUUAGCUAGUUGGUAAGGUAACGGCUUACCAAGGCAACGAUGCAUAGCCGACCUGAGAGGGUGAUAGGCCACCCUGGAACGUGGACACGGUCCAGACUACUACGGGAGGGACCAGUAGGGAAUCUUACGCAACGGGCGAAAGCCUGACAGAGAAACGGCGCGUGAGUGAUGAAGGUCCUCGGAUCGUAAAAACCUGUUAUUAGGGAAGAACAUAUGUGUAAGUAACUGUGCACAUCUUGACGGUACCUAAUCAGAAAGCCACGGCUAACUACGUG
rnacentral:rRNA from 1 species